rnacentral:rRNA from 1 species
UACGAAGGGUGCAAGCGUUACUCGGAAUUACUGGGCGUAAAGCGUGCGUAGGUGGUUUGUUAAGUCUGCUGUGAAAGCCCCGGGCUCAACCUGGGAAUGGCAGUGGAUACUGGCAAGCUAGAGUGCGGUAGAGGGUAGUGGAAUUCCCGGUGUAGCGGUGAAAUGCGUAGAGAUCGGGAGGAACACCAGUGGCGAAGGCGGCUACCUGGACCAGCACUGACACUCAGGCACGAAAGUGUGGGGAGCAAACAGG